rnacentral:rRNA from 1 species
CCUACGGGAGGCAGCAGUAGGGAAUCUUCCACAAUGGGCGAAAGCCUGAUGGAGCAACGCCGCGUGGGUGAAGAAGGUCUUCGGAUCGUAAAACCCUGUUGUUAGAGAAGAAAGUGCGUGAGAGUAACUGUUCACGUUUCGACGGUAUCUAACCAGAAAGCCACGGCUAACUACGUGCCAGCAGCCGCGGUAAUACGUAGGUGGCAAGCGUUAUCCGGAUUUUUUGGGCGUAAAGGGAACGCAGGCGGUCUUUUAAGUCUGAUGUGAAAGCCUUCGGCUUAACCGGAGUAGUGCAUUGGAAACUGGGAGACUUGAGUGCAGAAGAGGAGAGUGGAACUCCAUGUGUAGCGGUGAAAUGCGUAGAGAUAUGGAAGAACACCAGUGGCGAAAGCGGCUCUCUGGUCUGUAACUGACGCUGAGGUUCGAAAGCGUGGGUAGCAAACAGGAUUAGAUACCCCAGUAGUC